GCAUGCAGGUGAGAAGGGAAGAUACGUGUAAUCUGCACGUCUGCCACCAUUCCUUGUUACUCCUUUUUCGUAUCCCAUGAGCACAGCACUCCAGCGGACCUACCCAAAAUAUAUAGGAGUUCAGUGAAACUCAAACCUAUACAGUUUCUGUCCUGGUGAGGAGCAUGGUUACCAACAGGCAAGAUCUUCUGGCCUUGAAGUUUCACUUGAGUUAAAAGAGCUCAUCUCAGGACUUUCUGAAUUUUCAGCCCAUAUGACAUGGAAGAAGAGUUAGAAGGGGAAUCUGACUGCUUGGAUCAGGGACUGUCUGGCUGGUGGAACUUGAAUGUAUACAACACUCUUCAUUUGCAUGUUUUGACAUUUUAAAAAAUGUUUUCACUUUCCUUAUCUACUUUGACUCUAAUGACAUCCUAAAAGGUAAGUAGAAUUAUUCUCAUAAUAUGAUGAAGAACCCAAGGCUCUCAAGGGAACACCACUCUUGGAUUAUUUAGCCCUGCUCUUCUACAAGAAUUGCAUACCCCAACCCCUGGAGCCCUCCCCAUAUCCAUGUUUCUGCCUUAUAAUCUGAUCCUUUCACCAAAAAUGUUUAGAUCAGGUACACAUACCUGAACUAAAUUGGGACUAUCAGUUUCUCUCUCUUUAAAUUGCCCUGAGAAUUGAAACUCAGAGGAGCAAAAGUCUAAGUUUUGAGAGAUAACAUGUGUAAAAUGUCAGGAAUCCAAAUCCAUAGGCAUAGUCCACAGAUUCCUGAAGCUAGGGGGUCUGGCCUGAACCUGGUUUUCAAUCUUCUCCCCUUCAGCGCUUACUAGCUCUUUUAAACUCUUUGAAUUGCUUUAAAUAGCCCUAGUUUCUUAAACUAAAUUCUCCUUUUUUGGUAAAGGUACAUUGAAUUAGUUUCUGUUACUUGCUAUCAAAAGAAUCUUACCUAAUAUGGGCACAGAGAUG
rnacentral:antisense_RNA from 1 species